rnacentral:tRNA from 8 species
GGAGAGGUAGCCAAGUGGUCGACGGCGGCGGUUUGCUAAACCGCUGUACGGGGGAAACCCCGUACCGAGGGUUCGAAUCCCUCCCUCUCCGCCA